rfam:Gossypium raimondii chromosome 8, whole genome shotgun sequence.
AAACCAUGCAUUGGGAAUUUUCUAAUUAAUUCCUUGAAUUGCUUCCAUGCUUUAUAUAAUGGUUCGUCCUCAUAUUGUAGAAAGGACGUAAUAUCAUUUCUCAGUUU